AGAGUUUGAUCAUGGCUCAGAUUGAACGCUGGCGGCAGGCCUAACACAUGCAAGUCGAGCGGUAGCACAGGAGAGCUUGCUCUCUGGGUGACGAGCGGCGGACGGGUGAGUAAUGUCCGGAAAACUGCCUGAUGGAGGGGGAUAACUACUGGAAACGGUAGCUAAUACCGCAUAACGUCUUCGGACCAAAGUGGGGGACCUUCGGGCCUCACGCCAUCAGAUGUGCCCAGAUGGGAUUAGCUAGUAGGUGGGGUAAUGGCUCACCUAGGCGACGAUCCCUAGCUGGUCUGAGAGGAUGACCAGCCACACUGGAACUGAGACACGGUCCAGACUCCUACGGGAGGCAGCAGUGGGGAAUAUUGCACAAUGGGCGCAAGCCUGAUGCAGCCAUGCCGCGUGUGUGAAGAAGGCCUUCGGGUUGUAAAGCACUUUCAGCGAGGAGGAAGGGUAGUGUGCUAAUAGCACAUUGCAUUGACGUUACUCGCAGAACAAGCACCGGCUAACUCCGUGCCAGCAGCCGCGGUAAUACGGAGGGUGCAAGCGUUAAUCGGAAUUACUGGGCGUAAAGCGCACGCAGGCGGUUUGUUAAGUCAGAUGUGAAAUCCCCGCGCUUAACGUGGGAACUGCAUUUGAAACUGGCAAGCUAGAGUCUUGUAGAGGGGGGUAGAAUUCCAGGUGUAGCGGUGAAAUGCGUAGAGAUCUGGAGGAAUACCGGUGGCGAAGGCGGCCCCCUGGACAAAGACUGACGCUCAGGUGCGAAAGCGUGGGGAGCAAACAGGAUUAGAUACCCCGGUAGUCC
rnacentral:rRNA from 1 species